GACGAACGCUGGCGGCGUGCCUAAUACAUGCAAGUCGAACGCUGAAGAGAGGAGCUUGCUCUUCUUGGAUGAGUUGCGAACGGGUGAGUAACGCGUAGGUAACCUGCCUUGUAGCGGGGGAUAACUAUUGGAAACGAUAGCUAAUACCGGAUAACAAUUGAUGACGCAUGUUAUUUAUUUGAAAGGGGCAAUUGCUGCCCUACAAGCUGGACCUGCGGUGUAUUAGGUAGUAGGUGAGGGAAUGGCUCACCUAGGCGAAGAUACAUAGCCGACCUUGGAGGGGGGACCGCCAACCUGGGACUGAGACACGGGCCAGACUCCUUAGGGAGGGAGCAAGAGGGGAACUUCGGGCAUGGGGGCAACCCUGACCGAGCAACGCCGCGUGAGUGAAGAAGGUUCUCCGAUCGUAAAGAUCUGUUGUAUGUCAAGAACGGGAGUGGGAGUGGAAAGUUCACACUGUGACGGUAGCUUAUCAGAAAGGGACGGCUAACUACGUG
rnacentral:rRNA from 1 species